AGCUCAGUGUACCAUUUUAAGGAAAUGGAACAGGUGUCAGAUAUUUUCUAUUGGUGGUGCCUACUUGCUUAUGUCAAAACCUGAUAAUCUUGACCAUGAACAUGUAUUUUCAUCUGUACUUUGUCUUGUCCUUGCACUCAAGUAAUUGUUUGAAGACUUGUCACCUUUUAGUUCCGAGUGUUAUAGUUAUCUGAUUCAAAUGGAUGCUCAGUAUUAUCAUGUUAUCCACUUUGGUUUUGAUACUUUGAAUUCACCAAAAAAUAUUGUAACUGUUUUGAUAAUUGUUGGGUGCAUUCAUGUCUUGUAUCAUAUACAUUACUUUACUCUUACAGCUUGUUCUGUUUUGGCAGGGUGAUGCUGAUGGCUCCCUCGACAGGCUGUGGCAGAAGAGGAAGGCUGAGAUCAAGCAGCUCUAGAUGUUGCUAGUAGUUUUACCUGGAACUUGUUUCCUUCCCAUGUCUACCUAGCUCUUGGAUGUCUCUGGUUGGUUUCAGUUGCUACUAUGGAAGCUAAGACUUGAUGUCACUUGGCCUGGUUUCUUGUGAACAUGUUUUUGAGUUUAAUCUGUGUUGAAUGCUUGAUAUAUGUCCCUUGUCUUGUUGCUUAAUGUUAUGCUGAUGAUUUGGCCCUUAUUUUACUAGCAGAUCUGACCAUAUGGCUCUGUGUUGAGUUUGUCCCUUGUUAUUCUUGCUUCAAAAUGCAUGUACUCGAGUAACAACAGCAGCACAAGUAAGCACGCAUUUUGCCAUGCAGACAUCUUGCGUUUUGGCCAAUUGAAAUCCUUAGAUUUCCAAGACGUCAGACGCUGUACUUAAGCCUAUCUUAUUCCAUCACACUAUUUCCAUUUUCUGGCUGACGAUUGAUGCUGCAGUCAUUCAUACAGAUACGGGCUUAGUUAAUUUGCUGUCACAUUGUUAUCACAAGCUGUAAACGGCUUGCGAAGGAACUCUCGUGCUAUCUUACCGUUUGCUCCUUCCGGCUAGAAGCCACCAGGGAUAUGCUCGUUGCCGGUGAUCCUGAGCAACUCGGCCGGCGUCCGGCGGCUAGGAGAGGGAGUCCCUGUCGGCGGAGAGCAAGUUGUGCCCACAGGGCACCCUUACUUCACUUUUUUAUUUUGCAUCUCGGGCGUCACGGUGAGCCCCUCGUCCUUCACCCUUCACCAGCUGGUUUCUCGUGGUGGAGACGCGAUCGGUGAACUCUGCCACGGUGAUCCCCUUGUAGGGUGGCACCGUCUCGUGCUUGCGUUCGAAGAGCAGCGCGUGGAAGACGGCGUCCUGUCCCACCUCCACGCCUAGCAACCCUGCAAGAAACUGCAACAAAUAAUAGUACAAUGGUUACUACGAGUAGUGUCGAUGUGCAUGGAUGCGUUGUUGGAUGGUUGAUUUGGUUACGUGUUUAGUCUGGUAGCCGUCGAUGGGGGUUGGUGCCGGUGUAGCCGUUGAUGCCCAGGUAGUGGAUGACGUAGGACGCCAGCAGGAAGUUGAGGCUGUGGAUGUAGGGGUCGAAAGGAGGGUUCAAAUGGUAACCAAAUGCUUGGUCCAUGACCCUUGCAAAGUUGUUGGCACUCAGGUCGAUCUUUGGCCUAAGGAACCCACCCACUGUGUUCUGGAUGGCCCUGUGACCAAAAUGAAGGGCAACAUAUGGAUUUUCAGUACCAACUUGCUUCCAUCUAAGUGGAUUUUCAACGUAAUAAUCAAGUAGAGUAAUAACGGUAAAAAUGAUGUGAUCGUUGCAUGCAGACCUCAGGUGUCCGACCUCUUAAAGACCAAACUCCGCGGCGAUGCGCCAUGUCGCCUCGUCGAGGUUGGCUUUCAUGGCGCCCANNNNNNNNNNNNNNNNNNNNNNNNNNNNNNNNNNNNNNNNNNNNNNNNNNNNNNNNNNNNNNNNNNNNNNNNNNNNNNNNNNNNNNNNNNNNNNNNNNNNNNNNNNNNNNNNNNNNNNNNNNNNNNNNNNNNNNNNNNNNNNNNNNNNNNNNNNNNNNNNNNNNNNNNNNNNNNNNNNNNNNNNNNNNNNNNNNNNNNNNNNNNNNNNNNNNNNNNNNNNNNNNNNNNNNNNNNNNNNNNNNNNNNNNNNNNNNNNNNNNNNNNNNNNNNNNNNNNNNNNNNNNNNNNNNNNNNNNNNNNNNNNNNNNNNNNNNNNNNNNNNNNNNNNNNNNNNNNNNNNNNNNNNNNNNNNNNCAAUGUCAGGUUGGGCGAGAUCUAGUCAAGCCCUUUGCCGAACGCCGCGUGGAGGAAGAACUCGGCCUCGGUGUACUCAAGGUUCAGCGUGAACUGCAUCGGGUUGACGUCGUACAGGAACACCGGGACCGGAACGUGCGGAGCCGGUGGCUGGCAAUGAGGCCCGCCGUAGUCCGAGGCCUGCACUGCCACCGCUGACGCCUUGGCUGGAGGGCAGGUAGGGUCGACCUCGACCGCAUGGCCGGAUGAUGCCCUGCAUGUACAUGCUAAGGCUAGGACUAGGAGGAACAGGAGCAGGAGAGGAGAUGAUGCCAUUGUCAUCCUAGUUAGCUAACUCGAGGUUUAAGCAUCCGAUCCGAGGAUGCUGGGCUGAAGGUGUAUGGUGACAUCUCUGCUAAAUUUAUAGUACGUCCAAUAUCUCGAAGCCGCUUGUAACGUUCCAAAUGUAACAUUCCAUAAUUGUAACUCUAACUCUUGCCAUUUUCUGUAAUGUUAUAUAUUAUAUCCUUCGUGGUUGAGUUUUGUCCUCAUUUUGCAUUUUGGUCAUGUCAUGCAUUUCAUCUCAUGUCAUCAUGUGCAUCCCAUUUGUAUUUGUGUUCGUCUCAUGCAUCCGGUCUUUUUUCCCGUUGUCCGUUUCAGGAUCCGACACUCACACAUGCACCCAUUGCACCUCUCAGAUCUUGUUUCGUGAGCGGAAGAAAAAUGUUCUCGGAAUGGACUGAGAUUUGUCGAGUGGCCUUGAUACAUCACCGGUAGGCCGUCUGUCAAAUUCCGUUCCAUUUGGAGGUCGUUUGAUGCCCCAACGGUUAACCGUGUAACCGCCGAAAUCCCUCUCUCUUUGCAGCUCAACACCCCUCCACAACAGCCCACUAGCCCAUCUAAACCCCCUCCAUGCUCUCCGUCGUUGGAUCACGAUCGUCUGGGCAAAAACCGCACCUCAUUUGGACUCUCCUAGCUCCAUCUACAUAUAAAAAGGCCUCCCCUCCGGAAUCAUAGGCAAGCCCUAGCCAUUCCGCUCCCCGCGCCGCCGGACACGUCCGCCGAUGGCCCAGCCAACCAGGCGUCGCCACGUGGCCCUCCGGCCGCCCAUCACCGCCACCGCAUCCGCCUCCCGCGGCCCGCCAAGCCCAAACGGGGCCCUCCCGGCCCAUCCGCCCCGUGCCGCCGCNNNNNNNNNNNNNNNNNNNNNNNNNNNNNNNNNNNNNNNNNNNNNNNNNNNNNNNNNNNNNNNNNNNNNNNNNNNNNNNNNNNNNNNNNNNNNNNNNNNNNNNNNNNNNNNNNNNNNNNNNNNNNNNNNNNNNNNNNNNNNNNNNNNNNNNNNNNNNNNNNNNNNNNNNNNNNNNNNNNNNNNNNNNNNNNNNNNNNNNNNNNNNNNNNNNNNNNNNNNNNNNNNNNNNNNNNNNNNNNNNNNNNNNNNNNNNNNNNNNNNNNNNNNNNNNNNNNNNNNNNNNNNNNNNNNNNNNNNNNNNNNNNNNNNNNNNNNNNNNNNNNNNNNNNNNNNNNNNNNNNNNNNNNNNNNNNNNNNNNNNNNNNNNNNNNNNNNNNNNNNNNNNNNNNNNNNNNNNNNNNNNNNNNNNNNNNNNNNNNNNNNNNNNNNNNNNNNNNCCUCGCCUCGCCGCCGUCCGCACCUGCCUUGCCCGCGCCGCCGCCCAACCUCGCCGCCGGACCCCGCGCCUCCGCCGCCCCAUCGUCUCUGGCGCCUCACGCCGACCCCGACGUCCUCCUUCCCCGUCGGCCACCUCCGCGCCGCCCGUCUUCGGUGAGUUCGACGCGCCUCGGUUCGCGUGCCCAGUCAAACCCUAGAUCUGUGAGGGUAAAAUUUCUCUGAGUCCCCGAAAUAUUUCAUCUCAUGUGCACAUGUUCGACCGUCCAUAAGUUCGUGCUCGUAACUCCGUUUUGCAUGCAUGAUAUACCGAAAUGUUCGUCUCGUGAUGCUCUACAUGCUGGUGUCAUUUGCAUGCAUGUUACUGUCCACAUUGAUGCACUAAUCUUCAUUGCAAAAGUGCUAAAUGAUGUUAUCUGUUGGAAAUUAUCAUAACUUGCUGAUUUGUCUGUUUCAUAGCAUUUUGUGUGCUCAUCUUUUGAGCAUCAUGUCUACAUGUUUUAGGAGCAUCUUCAUGCCAUAUUUACAGUGGUGUAAUCAUUGUAUUUUUAUGUGCCAUGUGGUGACUAGCACAAGCAUGCCAAGUAGGCCAGUUGAUGUUGCUGAUUUCAACUAAGGAUGGCAAUUUUACCCAUGGGUAUGGGUACCCGCAGGUACCGUACCCGCAUGGGCAGGGUAUGGGCACAAUUUUAUACCCACGGUUAGUACCUAUACCCUACCCGUUAAUUCAUGGGUAGGGCACGGGUAUAGCCUUUUACCCAUGGAUAUACCCAUACCCUACCCAUUUAAUACCGACAUGUGAAUCUUACCCGUGAUUCACAAUCACAAGUGUACCUAUGUUAAAGUUCUGUUGUGAGCCUAUGGACCUAUGUUUAAGUUUUUACUAAUUGUCAAUUUAAAUUGAGAUAAUUUUCAUGUACUCGGCUAUUUGUUAUUUAGUUGAGAUCAAUUGUUUUUUUUAUCAAAUGUGCUAUAAAUGAAUGUAAAAUUGUGAAUAACUUGUGUACUAAUUGAUCUACCUAUUGGGUACCCAAUGGGUUUGGGUACCCGUCGGGUAAGGGUACGGGUAAAGUAUCAUACCCACGGGUACGGGUAUGGGUAGAAUUUUGUACCCAUUGACUACACGGGUAUGGGUAUGGUAUUGCUCUACCCGCCCCAUACCCUACCCAUUGCCAUCCUUAAUUUCAACCACUUAGUUUUUCUGCCAAGUCUUUUCCUGUCACAUUAGGUUGCUAUGUUGACUUGUCGCCACAAGUAAAUCCUUGCAUAUUUUGAUGAAGUUAAGUAAGGAUGUUUUGAAGAUAUGGUUAUGCUCUAUCUAUUCAUGCCUUUGUUUGUAAUUAUGUGGUACUGUAGCUUGUCAUUACCAUGCUUUCCUUUUGCUAAAUAUUAUUGUUGUCAGUCUGUUAACAGGAAGUGCAUUUUUGCCAUGUGUUUUGCUAGUGAUCCAUGCACCCUAUGACCAUGAUCUUGCCAUUUUUAGCUUCAUAAAUGUGUCUUCUUACUGUUAGUUGCUUUGUUAUACCAUGAAAUGCUUUGUGGUGAGUUGCACGAGCUUGCAAAAUUGCUAUCAUGAAUCUGUUUCUGCGAUGCCAUGUUUUCUACUGUCCGAAUCCGUUCAUAUCACUUGCCAUGUUUGCAUUGAUGCUACCAUCUUUUCUGUGCAUCUUUGGCUCAAGUUCAGUAAGGGAGUUUUGUUCAUUGCCUUUAGUACUAGCAUGCCAUGCUUAAGUUUGCCAUGAUAUGUUCCUGUAGCAUGUAGUUUACUAGCUCUAAACAUUGCUACCUGAUACUGUUUCUGUCAAGAUCAGUGAAAAGCUGCUAAGUCUAUAAACUAUUCUCAUUUGCAUGUUUGCCAUGCUAUUUUAGACUUGUUCUAGUGAGUUCUAGUAGUAGCUCAGUGUUCAUGAUUUGUAGAGCUUCACAUGUACUUCUCUGUCAUGUGUUUUCUUGUUAUGUUGGAGUGUUGUAGCAUAUUUUCAUGAUGCAUCUUAAGUGCUAUGAUGCUGUUAAACGUAGUUUUGCGUUGUUCUUGUUUUGCUCGUCAUUUGCAAAUUGUGCAUCCGUUUCCGGUGAUCUUCAUAUCGAUUUCAACCGAAAUCUCUCAACCUAUCCAAUGGCAUGCUUGUUUAGCCAAGUUAAUGCCAUUAUCAUAUUUUCCCUUCCGGAGUACCCUUAUGCAUUGCACAUCAUACCUUGCAUUCCAUGCCAUGUCUUGCAUCAUGUUGCUUGUGCAUUACACCAUGAUUGAUUGUUGUUCCGUUGCUUCUGUUCUUGCUUUGGAUAGAGCUGGGAGACGAGUUCGUGAACGAGGAUCAUGUCGAGUAUGUUUAUGAGGAGCAAGCUUUCGACAACCCUGAGAACUUUGCAGGCAAGAUGAUCAUUACCCCCAAUAUCACUUCUAUCUUUGCUUGCUAGUUGUUCGCUCUAUCUCUAUGUCACGCUACCUACCACUUGUUUGUCAAGCCUCUAACCCACCUUCCUAGCAAACUGUUGUUUGGCUAUGUUACCGCUUUUGCUCAGCCCCUCUUAUAGCGUUGCUAGUUGCAGGUGCAGUGUAGGUUGUUCCAUGUUGGAACAUGGACAUGUUGGGAUAUCACAAUAUCUCUUAUUUAAUUAAUGCAUCUAUAUACUUGGCAAAGGGUGGAAGGCUUGGCCUUUUGCUCGGUGUUUUGUUCCACUCUUGCUGCCCUAGUUUCCAUCAUACCGGUGUUAUGUUCCUUGAUUUUGCGUUCCUUACGUGGUUGGGGUUAUGGGACCCCCUUGAUAGUUUGCUUUGAAUAAAACUCCUCCAGCAAGGCCCAACCUUGGUUUUACCAUUUGCGUAAUAACAACUAAAAUAUGCAUAGGGAUUAAUUAACCCGAGGAUUCUUAAUCAACAACCCGGGCUAGUGUUCCUCUGAGUGCUGGUCCAACCUGGGCGAUGUCCGACGCCCCCUGGGCAACCAGGGUCUCAGCCAACCCGACGUCUUGCCCAUCCGGUGUGCCCUGAGAACGAGAUACGUGUGACUCAUAUCGGGAUUUGUCGGCACAUCGGGCGGUCUUGCUGGUCUUGUUUUACCAUUGUCGAAAUUAAUGUCUUGUAACCGGGAUUCCGAGUCUGAUCGGGUUGUUCAGGGAGAAGGAAUAUCCUUCGUUGAUCAUGAGAGCUUGUGAUGGGCUAAGUUGGGACACCCUGUAGGGUAUAAACUUUCGAGAGCCGUGUCCACGGUUAUGUGGCAGAUGAGAAUUUGUUAAUAUCCGAUUGUAGAGAACUUGACACUUGACUUAAUUAAAAUACACCAACCGCGUGUGUAACCGUGAUGGUGUCUUUUCGACAGGGUUUGGGAAGUGAACAUGGUUGGGUUAUGUAUGAACGUAAGUAGUUCAUGAUCACUUCUUGAUCACUUGUAGCUCUACGUGUGUUACGCAGCUUCUCAUCUUACUCUUGUACUUGUAUGUUAGCCACCAUAUUUGCUUAGUGCUUGCUGCAACUCCACCUUAUAACCACAUCCUACCUUUAAGCUUAAAUAGUCUUGAUCUCGCGGGUUUUGAGAUUGCUGAGUCCUUGUAACUCACAGAUAUUACAAAAACAGUUGCAGGUGCUGAUGAUACCAAUGCAGGUGAUGCCACUGAGCUCAAGUGGGAGUUCGACGAAGACCUUGGCCGUUACUAUGUUUCCUUUCCGGAUGAUUAGUAGUGGUGCCCGGUAGGGACGCGAUCGGGACUUAGCAUUUGGGGUUGUCUUCUUUUCAUUUGGGUCGUCCAUGGUCGGACCUUGUGUGUACUCUGAUUGAUGUAUGUAUAAUUUGAUCAUUGUGUGAUGUGGUGAUUGUAAGCCAACUAUUUACAUCUUGUUCAUUUACAUGGGAUUGUGUGAAGAUGACCCUUCUUGUGACCAUACCAAAAUGCGGCUAUGCCUCUAAUUCGUGCCCCGACAUGUGGGAGAUAUAGCCGCAUCUUGGGCGUUACAAGUUGGUAAUCAGAGCCAUCCCGACUUAGGAGCCCCCUGCUUGAUCGAAUCGCUGAUGUUGUUGAGUCUAGAACAAAACUGUUUUGAGUCUUAGGAUUAUAUAUAUCGGAGAGUAGGAUUCUUUUUACUCCUCAGCCCCCUUCGUCGCUCUGUUAAGGACUCCUGACGUAGACUUUUUGACUUUCCUCUCCUCAUUUUCACUAAAUUUUUUUAGGAUCACGCGGGUAUCUUGGGAUCAUUCCGAUAUUCUUGUGACGAGAACAUUGUUCUUAGUGCCUCCUAACAUUUUGGGGUUGUGGCAGUGUCCUGGGGAGUUGAGCUCCAAGGUGUUGUCGUCACAAUUUUAUUGUUGCAGUUCUGGAAUACCUGAGCUCGCCGACAUCGAAAAUCUCUUUUAUGCAGUUAGUGGUGAGAUAACCUCGAUGCCACCCAGUAUUGGGGAGGGAGUUUGGGAGUAUAGCCACAGCUAGUAUAACGGAUGCUUUUCGAAGGUUGAGGUACACGAUUUUCAAAGUUUUCUUGGUUAUGUGUUGACGGAUGGAUACAGUUGGAGCGUAGGGCUUGUUAGUUGUCUGAUAUAUAUUGUGCCUCCCUGUAUCCCCAACACCAGAUUGCAUAACCAAAAAGUUUCGGGAGUUAAUAGGUGGGAAUUCAGGUAGCUCUUAGUUAUUCUUCUGGCAGAUAAUUGGUAUGGGAUUGGGUGAUCCUUACCAUUUAUUUGUUCCAGUCGUACCUUGUUGUUUCAUUCAUCAACCUUUCUCUAAGUGGCUUCUCACCCUUAAUGGUCGUGUAAUGUUAACUUUGCAAUGCAUUCGUUCAAUCUCUGUUCGAAUGUUUAUCGUGAAGACUGUAUGUUGCAAUUUCUAUUCGUUGAUUCAGCUUGUCUAUAUGUCUAUAAUGGUUCUAACAGAUGUCACCCUCUUCAGGAUGCCUCCUCCAACGUGUCUGAAUCCGGACCGCAACGAUGGGGAACAGUAGAACCCUCCACCUCCACCACCUCCUCCGCCUUUGAAGGCAUGGCAAGCUGUGAUGGCGGCCACCAACGCCAAUACUCAGAUGCUUUUGCAACUCUUGCAAGAGUGCAACCAAGGCCAAGGCAACCAAGGAAAUCAAGGUCAAGGGCAAUUCAACAACCAUCCUCAGUUUGCUACCCUCAACCAGUUUCUUGCAAAUCAACCAAAGUCUUUCAGCGAUUGUGCCGAGGCCAUGGACGCCGAUGAUUGGCUCAUGGACAUCAACAAGCAUUUUGAAUGCAGCAAUGUCAGGCCUGAGGACUACGUCAAGUUUGCUUCUUUUCAGCUCAAGGACCAAGCAGCUGAUUGGUAUCAGCGGUACAAAGAUUCCAGAGGGGGUCAAGAGAUUACCUGGACUAACUUCUGCUGGGACUUUCGAGCUCAUCACAUUCCAACAAGUGUUGUCGAGAGCAAGCGUGAGGAAUUCCACAAUCUCAUGCAAGGAAGCAUAUCCGUGUAUCAAUACAACAUCUAGUUUUAGAAGCUUGCUCGCUUCGCAAGGCAAGACGUUCCUGAUGAAAAGAGCAUGAUCUAUCACAUCAAGGGUGGCCUAAGAGAGGAUCUGCAGUUAGCUCUCAUUCUUGUUGAGCCUACUCAGUUCGAUCAGUUCUACAACAUGGCCCUCAAGCAAGAAGCUGCUCAGCUCAAUGUGAGGCUUCAAAGAAGAGAAUCAGGGAUGCAGUCCAGUCUUCUUCUUCCUCAAAAGUGGCAGCUAAGCAAUAGAAGUUCUGGCUUCCUCCACCUCCUCCGCUUCGUCAGCCCUACCAGUAGAAGAACUCAAGUGGUCGUGGAUCUUCCCACCCACCCAACCUAGGCUAUCAGAACAAGUCUCAAACUCAGGCUCCGAGGACAGGUGGUCCUCCUACACCUUUCCAUCCGCUUUCAGAGGUCACUUGUCACAAGUGUGGUAUGAAGGGUCACUAUUCUAAAAAGUGCGUCAACCAAAGGCGCCUUCCGCCUCCUCCUCCUAUCCGGUUAGCAAGCAAUGCAGUUGUCAAGCAGAAUCCCAAGUCUCCAAGGGUGAACAUGAUGAAUUCAGCUCAAGCAGAGGAUUCUUCAGAAGUGAUCAUGGGUAAUCUCCCAGUUAAUGAUAUUCCUAUAAAAGUUUUAUUCGAUACUGGUGCAUCUAUUUCAUUCAUAUCAAGGCCUUUUGCAUCCAUGCACAAUUUGCAUACUGUUGAUCUUCCUAGGCCGAUAUCGGUUUCCUCUCCCGGUUUGUUCAUGCAUACCAAAAUGAUGGUUCCGGAUGUUGGCAUCAAGAUGGGCAAUUAUAAAUUUCUGGCUUCUCCAAUGGUUCUUGGCGACUCUAAUAUUGAUCUCAUUCUUGGCAUGGAUUGGCUUUCUCAGCAAAAGGCUUCCCUUGAUUGUGCUGCCAGGGAGAUUAAAUUGACGCACCCUUCUGAGGAUGUGAUCAUCUAUGCCGUUCGUGAUGAAACCAUUUGGUUGUUCUUUCUCAAUGAGAAGGGAGAGUUAGACGCUAUUUCUCAGACCGAGUUGUUUGUGAGUAUCAAGAUGUCUUUCUAGAAGAGCAUCCGGGUAUGCCUCCUCAUCGGCCAGUCGAGUUCGCUAUUGAUCUUGAGCCCGGUACAGAACCCGUUUGCAAGCGCCCAUACAAGCUUGGUGUUGGGUUUCGUAGUAAUUUCAAAAAAUUUCCUACGCGCACACAGGAUCAUGUGAUGCAUAGCAACGAGAGGAGAGUGUUGUCUACGUACCCAACGGAGACCGACUGCGGAAGCGAUGACACGACGUAGAGGAAGUAGUCGUACGUCUUCACGAUCCAACCGAUCAAGCACCGAAACUACGGCACCUCCGAGUUCGAGCACACGUUCAGCUCGAUGACGAUCCCUGGACUCCGAUCCAGCAAAGUGUCAGGGAAGAGUUUCGUCAGCACGACGGCGUGGUGACGAUCUUGAUGAACUACAGCAGCAGGGCUUCGCCUAAACUCCACUACAGUAUUAUCGAGGAAUAUGGUGGCAGGGGGCACCGCACACGGCUAAGGAAUCGAUCACGUGGAUCAACUUGUGUCAACUUGUGUGUUUAGAGGUGCCCCUGCCUCCGUAUAUAAAGGAGCCAAGGGGGGAGGGUGCGCCGGCCAAGAGGGAGAGGCGCAGGAGGAGUCCUACUCCUACCGGGAGUAGGACUCCCCCCCCCCAAUCCUAUUCCAACUAGGAUUCCCAAGGGGGAAAGAGGGAGAGGGGUGGCCGGCCACCUCUCCUAGUCCUAAUAGGACUAGGGGAAGGGGGGAGGCGCGCAGCCCCCUUGGGCUGCCCCUUUCUCCUUUCCACUAAGGCCCAUGAUGGCCCAUAUGGCUCCCGGGGGGUUCCGGUAACCUCCCGGUAACCCGGUAAAAUCCCGAUUUCACCCGGAACACUUCCGAUGUCCAAACAUAGACUUCCAAUAUAUCAAUCUUUAUGUCUCGACCAUUUCGAGACUCCUCGUUAUGUCCGUGAUCACAUCCGGGACUCCGAACAACCUUCGGUACAUCAAAAUGCAUAAACUCAUAAUAUAACUGUCAUCGUAACCUUAAGCGUGCGGACCCUACGGGUUCGAGAACAAUGUAGACAUGACCGAGACACGUCUCUGGUCAAUAACCAAUAGCGGGACCUGGAUGCCCAUAUUGGCUCCUACAUAUUCUACGAAGAUCUUUAUCGGUCAGACCGCAUAACAACAUACGUUGUUCCUUUGUCAUCGGUAUGUUACUUGCCCGAGAUUCGAUCGUCGGUAUCCAAUACCUAGUUCAAUCUCGUUACCGGCAAGUCUCUUUACUCGUUCCGUAAUACAUCAUCUCACAACUAACAUAUUAGUUGUAAUGCUUGCAAGGCUUAUGUGAUGUGUAUUACCGAGAGGGCCCAGAGAUACCUCUCCGACAAUCGGAGUGACAAAUCCUAAUCUCGAAAUACGCCAACCCAACAUCGACCAUUGGAGACACCUGUAGUACUCCUUUAUAAUCACCCAGUUACGUUGUGACGUUUGGUAGUACCCAAAGUGUUCCUCCGGUAAAUGGGAGUUGCAUAAUCUCAUAGUCAUAGGAACAUGUAUAAGUCAUGAAGAAAGCAAUAGCAACAUACUAAACGAUCGGGUGCUAAGCUAAUGGAAUGGGUCAUGUCAAUCAGAUCAUUCUACUAAUGAUGUGACCUCGUUAAUCAAAUAACAACUCAUUGUUCAUGGUUAGGAAACAUAACCAUCUUUGAUUAACGAGCUAGUCAAGUAGAGGCAUACUAGUGACACUCUGUUUGUCUAUGUAUUCACACAUGUAUUAUGUUUCCGGUAAAUACAAUUCUAGCAUGAAUAAUAAACAUUUAUCAUGAUUAUCAGGAAAUAAAUAAUAACUUUAUUAUUGCCUCUAGGGCAUAUUUCCUUCAGUCUCCCACUUGCACUAGAGUCAAUAAUCUAGAUUACACUGUAAUGAAUCUAACACCCAUGGAGCUUUGGUGCUGAUCAUGUUUUGCUCGUGGAAGAGGCUUAGUCAACGGGUCUGCAACAUUCAGAUCCGUAUGUAUCUUGCAAAUCUCUAUGUCUCCCACCUGGACUAGAUCCCGGAUGGAGUUGAAGCGUCUCUUGAUGUGUUUGGUCCUUUUGUGAAAUCUGGAUUCCUUUGCCAAGGCAAUUGCACCAGUAUUGUCACAAAAGAUUUUCAUUGGACCCGAUGCACUAGGUAUGACACCUAGAUCGGAUAUGAACUCCUUCAUCCAGACUCCUUCAUUUGCUGCUUCCGAAGCAGCUAUGUAUUCCGCUUCACAUGUAGAUCCCGCUACGAUGCUUUGUUUAGAACUGCACCAACUGACAGCUCCACCGUUUAAUGUAAACACGUAUCCGGUUUGCGAUUUAGAAUCAUCCGGAUCAGUGUCAAAGCUUGCAUCAACGUAACCUUUUACGAUGAGCUCUUUGUCACUUCCAUAUACGAGAAACAUAUCCUUAGUCCUUUUCAGGUAUUUCAGGAUGUUUUUGACCGCUGUCCAGUGAUCCAUUCCUGGAUUACUUUGGUACCUCCCUGCUAAACUUAUAGCAAGGCACACAUCAGGUCUGGUACACAGCAUUGCAUACAUGAUAGAGCCUAUGGCUGAUGCAUAGGGAACAUCUUUCAUAUUCUCUCUUUCUUCUGCAGUGGUCGGGCAUUGAGUCUUACUCAAUUUCACACCUUGUAACACAGGCAAGAACCCUUUCUUUGCUUGAUCCAUUUUGAACUUCUUCAAAAUUUUGUCAAGGUAUGUGCUUUGUGAAAGUCCAAUUAAGCGUCUUGAUCUAUCUCUAUAGAUCUUAAUGCCUAAUAUGUAAGCAGCUUCACCGAGGUCUUUCAUUGGAAAACUUUUAUUCAAGUAUCCCUUUAUGCUAUCCAGAAAUUCUAUAUCAUUUCCAAUCAGUAAUAUGUCAUCCACAUAUAAUAUCAGAAAUGCUACAGAGCUCCCACUCACUUUCUUGUAAAUACAGGCUUCUCCGAAAGUCUGUAUAAAACCAAAUGCUUUGAUCACACUAUCAAAACGUUUAUUCCAACUCCGAGAGGCUUGCACCAGUCCAUAAAUGGAUCGCUGGAGCUUGCACACUUUGUUAGCUCCCUUUGGAUCGACAAAACCUUCUGGUUGCAUCAUAUACAACUCUUCUUCCAGAAAUCCAUUCAGGAAUGCAGUUUUGACAUCCAUUUGCCAAAUUUCAUAAUCAUAAAAUGCGGCAAUUGCUAACAUGAUUCGGACGGACUUAAGCAUCGCUACGGGUGAGAAGGUCUCAUCUUAGUCAAUUCCUUGAACUUGCCGAAAACCUUUUGCGACAAGUCGAGCUUUGUAGACAGUAACAUUACCAUCAGCGUCAGUCUUCUUCUUAAAAAUCCAUUUAUUCUCAAUUGCUUGCCGAUCAUCGGGCAAGUCAACCAAAGUCCAUACUUUGUUCUCAUACAUGGAUCCCAUCUCAGAUUUCAUGGCUUCAAGCCACUUUACGGAAUCUGGGCUCACCAUCGCUUCUUCAUAGUUCGUAGGUUCAUCAUGAUCUAGUAGCAUGACCUCCAGAACAGGAUUACCGUACCACUCUGGUGCGGAUCUUACUCUGGUUGAUCUACGCGGUUCAGUAGUAUCUUGAUCUGAAGUUUCAUGAUCUUUAUCAUUGGCUUCCUCACUAACUGGUGUAGGUGUCACUGAAACAGUUUUCUAUGAUGAACUACUUUCCAGUAAGGGAGCAGGUACAGUUACCUCGUCAAGUUCUACUUUCCUCCCACUCACAUCUUUCGAGAGAAACUCCUUCUCUAGAAAUGAUCCAUUCUUAGCAACGAAUGUUUUGCCUUCGGAUCUGUGAUAGAAGGUGUACCCAACAGUUUCCUUUGGGUAUCCUAUGAAGACACAUUUCUCCGAUUUGGGUUCGAGCUUAUCAGGUUGAAGCUUUUUCACAUAAGCAUCGCAGCCCCAAACUUUAAGAAACGACAACUUUGGUUUCUUGCCAAACCACAGUUCAUAAGGCGUCGUCUCAACGGAUUUUGAUGGUGCCCUAUUUAACGUGAAUGCGGCCGUCUCUAAAGCAUAUCCCCAAAAUGAUAGCGGUAAAUCAGUAAGAGACAUCAUAGAUCGCACCAUAUCUAGUAAAGUACGAUUACGACGUUCGGACACACCAUUACGCUGUGGUGUUCCGGGUGGCGUGAGUUGCGAAACUAUUCCACAGUUUUUCAAAUGUACACCAAACUCGUAACUCAAAUAUUCUCCUCCACGAUCAGAUCGUAGAAACUUUAUUUUCUUGUUACGAUGAUUUUCAACUUCACUCUGAAAUUCUUUGAACUUUUCAAAUGUUUCAGACUUAUGUUUCAUUAAGUAAAUAUACCCAUAUCUGCUUAAAUCAUCUGUGAAGGUGAGAAAAUAAUGAUAUCCGCCACGAGCCUCAAUAUUCAUCGGGCCACAUACAUCGGUAUGUAUGAUUUCCAACAAAUCUGUUGCUCUCUCCAUAGUACCGGAGAACGGUGUUUUAGUCAUCUUGCCCAUGAGGCACGGUUCGCAAGUACCAAGUGAUUCAUAAUCAAGUGGUUCCAAAAGUCCAUCGGUAUGGAGUUUCUUCAUGCGCUUUAUACCGAUAUGACCUAAACGACAGUGCCACAAAUAAGUUGCACUUUCAUUAUCAACUCUGCAUCUUUUGGCUUCAACAUUAUGAAUAUGUGUAUUACUACUAUCGAGAUUCAAAAAAUAGACCACUCUUCAAGGGUGCAUGACCAUAAAAGAUAUUACUCAUAUAAAUAGAACAACCAUUAUUCUCUGAUUUAAAUGAAUAACCGUCUCGCAUUAAACAAGAUCCAGAUAUAAUGUUCAUGCUCAACGCUGGCACCAAAUAACAAUUACUUAGGUCUAAUAUUAAUCCCGAAGGUAGAUGUAGAGGUAGCGUGCCGACUGCGAUCACAUCGACUUUGGAACCGUUUCCUACGCGCAUCGUCACCUCGUCCUUUGCCAGUGCCCGCUUAUUCUGUAGUCCCUGUUUCGAGUUGCAAAUAUUAGCAACAGAACCAGUAUCAAAUACCCAGGUGCUACUGCGAGAUCUAGUAAGGUACACAUCAAUAACAUGUAUAUCACAUAUACCUUUGUUCACCUUGCCAUCCUUCUUAUCCGCCAAAUACUUGGGGCAGUUCCGCUUCCAGUGACCAGUCUGCUUGCAGUAGAAGCACUCAGUUUCAGGCUUAGGUCCAGACUUGGGUUUCUUCUCUUGAGCAGCAACUUGCUUGCCGUUCUUUUUGAAGUUCCCCUUUUUCUUCCCUUUGCCCUUUUUCUUGAAACUAGUGGUCUUGUUAACCAUCAACACUUGAUGCUCCUUCUUGAUUUCUACCUCCGCAGCUUUCAGCAUUGCGAAGAGCUCGGGAAUAGUCUUGUUCAUCCCUUGCAUAUUAUAGUUCAUUACGAAGCUCUUGUAGCUUGGUGGCAGUGAUUGGAGAAUUCUGUCGAUGACGCAAUCAUCUGGAAGAUUAACUCCCAAUUGAAUCAAGUGAUUAUUAUACCCAGACAUUUUGAGUAUAUGCUCAUUGACAGAACUGUUCUCCUCCAUAUUGCAGCUAUAGAACUUAUUGGAGACUUCAUAUCUCUCAAUCCGGGCAUUUGCUUGAAAUAUUAACUUCAACUCCUGGAACAUCUCAUAUGCUCCAUGACGUUCAAAACGUCGUUGAAGUCCCGAUUCUAAGCCGUAAAGCAUGGCACACUGAACUAUCGAGUAGUCAUCAGCUUUGCUCUGCCAGAUGUUCAUAACAUCUGGCGUUGCUCCAGCAGCAGGCCUGGCACCCAGCGGUGCUUCCAGGACGUAAUUCUUCUGUGCAGCAAUGAGGAUAAUCCUCAAGUUACGGACCCAGUCCGUGUAAUUGCUACCAUCAUCUUUCAACUUUGCUUUCUCAAGGAACGCAUUAAAAUUCAACGGAACAACAGCACGAGCCAUCUAUCUACAAUCAACAUAAACAAGCAAGAUACUAUCAGGUACUAAGUUCAUGAUAAAUUUAAGUUCAAUUAAUCAUAUUAUUUAAGAACUCCCACUUAGAUAGACAUCCCUCUAAUCCUCUAAGUGAUUACAUGAUCCAAAUCAACUAAACCAUAACCGAUCAUCACGUGAGAUGGAGUAGUUUUCAAUGGUGAACAUCGUUAUGUUGAUCAUAUCUACUAUAUGAUUCACGCUCGACCUUUCGGUCUCCGUGUUCCGAGGCCAUAUCUGCAUAUGCUAGGCUCGUCAAGUUUAACCUGAGUAUUCUGCGUGUGCAAAAACUGGCUUGCACCCGUUGUAGAUGGACGUAGAGCUUAUCACACCCGAUCAUCACGUGGUGUCUGGGCACGACGAACUUUGGCAACGGUGCAUACUCAGGGAGAACACUUCUUGAUAAUUUAAUGAGAGAUCAUCUUAUAAUGCUACCGUCAAUCAAAGCAAGAUAAGAUGCAUAAAAAGAUAAACAUCACAUGCAAUCAAUAUAAGUGAUAUGAUAUGGCCAUCAUCAUCUCGUGCUUGUGAUCUCCAUCUCCGAAGCACCGUCAUGAUCACCAUCGUCACCGGCGCGACACCUUGAUCUCCAUCGUAGCAUCGUUGUCGUCUCACCAAUCUUAUGCUUUCACGACUAUCACUACCGUUUAGUAAUAAAGUUAAGCAUUACAUCGCGAUUGCAUUGCAUACAAUAAAGCGACAACCAUAUGGCUCCUGCCAGUUGCCGAUAACUUGGUUACAAAACAUGAUCAUCUCAUACAAUAAAAUUCAGCAUCAUGCCUUGACCAUAUCACAUCACAACAUGCCCUGCAAAAACAAGUUAGACGUCCUCUACUUUGUUGUUGCAUGUUUUACGUGGCUGCUACGGGCUUAAGUAAGAACCAAUCUCACCUACGCAUCAAAACCACAGCGAUAGUUUGUCAAAUAGACUCCGUUUUAACCUUCGCAAGGACCGGGCGUAGCCAUACUUGGUUCAACUAAAGUUGGAGAGACAGUCGCCCGCAAGCCAUCUCUGUGCAAAGCACGUCGAGGGAACCGGUCUCGCGUAAGCGUACACGUAAGGUUGGUCUGGGUCGUCUCGUCCAACAAUACCGCCGAACCAAAAUAUGACAUGCUGGUAGGCAGUAUGACUUGUAUCGUCCACAACUCACUUGUGUUCUACUCGUGCAUAUAACAUCAACAUCAAUAACCAGGCUCGGAUGCCACUGUUGGGUUUCGUAGUAAUUUCAAAAAAAUUCCUACGCGCACACAGGAUCAUGUGAUGCAUAGCAACGAGAGGAGAGUGUUGUCUACGUACCCAACGGAGACCGACUGCGGAAGCGAUGACACGACGUAGAGGAAGUAGUCGUACGUCUUCACGAUCCAACCGAUCAAGCACCGAAACUACGGCACCUCCGAGUUCGAGCACACGUUCAGCUCGAUGACGAUCCCCGGACUCCGAUCCAGCAAAGUGUCGGGGAAGAGUUUCGUCAGCACGACGGUGUGGUGACGAUCUUGAUGAACUACAGCAGCAGGGCUUCGCCUAAACUCCGCUACAGUAUUAUCGAGGAAUAUGGUGGCAGGGGGCACCGCACACGGCUAAGGAAUCGAUCACGUGGAUCAACUUGUGUCAACUUGUGUGUUUAGAGGUGCCCCUGCCUCCGUAUAUAAAGGAGCCAAGGGGGGAGGGUGCGCCGGCCAAGAGGGAGACGCGUAGGAGGAGUCCUACUCCUACCGGGAGUAGGACUCCCCCCCCCCCAAUCCUAUUCCAACUAGGAUUCCCAAGGGGGAAAGAGGGAGAGGGGUGGCCGGCCACCUCUCCUAGUCCUAAUAGCACUAGGGGAAGGGGGGAGGCGUGCAGCCCCCUUGGGCUGCCCCUUUCUCCUUUCCACUAAGGCCCAUGAUGGCCCAUAUGGCUCCCGGGGGGUUCCGGUAACCUCCCGGUAACCCGGUAAAAUCCCGAUUUCACCCGGAACACUUCCGAUGUCCAAACAUAGACUUCCAAUAUAUCAAUCUUUAUGUCUCGACCAUUUCGAGACUCCUCGUUAUGUCCGUGAUCACAUCCAGUACUCCGAACAACCUUCGGUACAUCAAAAUGCAUAAACUCAUAAUAUAACUGUCAUCGUAACCUUAAGCGUGCGGACCCUACGGGUUCGAGAACAAUGUAGACAUGACCGAGACACGUCUCUGGUCAAUAACCAAUAGCGGGACCUGGAUGCCCAUAUUGGCUCCUACAUAUUCUACGAAGAUCUUUAUCGGUCAGACCGCAUAACAACAUACGUUGUUCCCUUUGUCAUCUGUAUGUUACUUGCCCGAGAUUCGAUCGUCGGUAUCCAAUACCUAGUUCAAUCUCGUUACCGGCAAGUCUCUUUACUCGUUCCGUAAUACAUCAUCUCACAACUAACAUAUUAGUUGUAAUGCUUGCAAGGCUUAUGUGAUGUGUAUUACCGAGAGGGCCCAGAGAUACCUCUCCGACAAUCGGAGUGACAAAUCCUAAUCUCGAAAUACGCCAACCCAACAUCGACCAUUGGAGACGCCUGUAGUACUCCUUUAUAAUCACCCAGUUACGUUGUGACGUUUGGUAGUACCCAAAGUGUUCCUCCGGUAAACGGGAGUUGCAUAAUCUCAUAGUCAUAGGAACAUGUAUAAGUCAUGAAGAAAGCAAUAGCAACAUACUAAACGAUCGGGUGCUAAGCUAAUGGAAUGGGUCAUGUCAAUCAGAUCAUUCUACUAAUGAUGUGACCUCGUUAAUCAAAUAACAACUCAUUGUUCAUGGUUAGGAAACAUAACCAUCUUUGAUUAACGAGCUAGUCAAGUAGAGGCAUACUAGUGACACUUUUGUUUGUCUAUGUAUUCACACAUGUAUUAUGUUUCCGGUAAAUACAAUUCUAGCAUGAAUAAUAAACAUUUAUCAUGAUUAUGAGGAAAUAAAUAAUAACUUUAUUAUUGCCUCUAGGGCAUAUUUCCUUCACAAACAUAGGCUUCCAAUAUAUCAAUCUUUACGUCUCGACCAUUUCGAGACUCCUCGUCAUGUCCGUGAUCACAUCUGGGACUCCGAACAACCUUCGGUACAUCAAAAUGCAUAAACUCAUAAUGUAACUGUCAUCGUAACCUUAAGCGUGCGGACCCUACGGGUUCGAGAACAAUGUAGACAUGACCGAGACAUGUCUCUGGUCAAUAACCAAUAGCGGGACCUGGAUGCCCAUAUUGGCUCCUACAUAUUCUACGAAGAUCUUUAUCGGUCAGACCGCAUAACAACAUACGUUGUUCCCUUUGUCAUCGGUAUGUUACUUGCCCGAGAUUCGAUCGUCGGUAUCCAAUACCUAGUUCAAUCUCGUUACCGGCAAGUCUCUUUACUCGUUCCGUAAUACAUCAUCUCACAACUAACAUAUUAGUUGUAAUGCUUGCAAGGCUUAUGUGAUGUGUAGUACCGAGAGGGCCCAGAGAUACCUCUCCGACAAUCGGAGUGACAAAUCCUAAUCUCGAAAUACGCCAACCCAACAUCGACCAUUGGAGACACCUGUAGUACUCCUUUAUAAUCACCCAGUUACGUUGUGACGUUUGGUAGUACCCAAAGUGUUCCUCCGGUAAACGGGAGUUGCAUAAUCUCAUAGUCAUAGGAACAUGUAUAAGUCAUGAAGAAAGCAAUAGCAACAUACUAAACGAUCGGGUGCUAAGCUAAUGGAAUGGGUCAUGUCAAUCAGAUCAUUCUACUAAUGAUGUGACCUCGUUAAUCAAAUAACAACUCAUUGUUCAUGGUUAGGAAACAUAACCAUCUUUUAUUAACGAGCUAGUCAAGUAGAGGCAUACUAGUGACACUCUGUUUGUCUAUGUAUUCACACAUGUAUUAUGUUUCCGGUAAAUACAAUUCUAGCAUGAAUAAUAAACAUUUAUGAUGAUUAUAAGGAAAUAAAUAAUAACUUUAUUAUUGCCUCUAGGGCAUAUUUCCUUCACUUGGGCCAAAAGAGCUGAAAGAAUUGAAGAAACAUCUCGAUGAACAAGAGCGUCUGGGACUGAUCAGACCAAGUUCAUCUCCGUGGGGUUGUGGUGUUCUUUUUGUCCAGAAGAAGGAUGGCACGGACCGACUUUGCGUCAAUUACCGCCCAUUGAACAAGAAGACAAUCAAGAAUAAGUAACCACUUCCCAACAUCAAUGAGCUAUUCGAGCAACUCAAAGGUGCAAAGGUGUUUUUCAACCUUGACCUCCGUAUGGGUUAUCAUCAGAUUCACAUUCGUGAAGAAUAUAUCCCCGAGACAGCAUUCAGAACAAGCUUUGGUUCUUAUGAAUAUACUUUCAUGUCUUUUGGGCUUGUCAAUGCCCCUCCAACUUCCUCUCGCAUGAUGAACUUCAUCUUCAACCCCUACACCAAUGAAUUCGUCAUGGUGUGUCUCGACGAUAUCCUGGUUUUCUCCAAGAAUAAGAAGGAUCAUGCCAAGCAUUUGCAAUUGGUGCUUGACAAGCUCAGAGAGUAUCAAUUCUAUGCAAAGUUCUCCAAAUGUGAGUUUUUGCUUGAUGAAGUUCUUUACCUUGGCCACAUCAUCUCUGCCAAGGGCAUUGCUGUUAAUCUGGAGAAGGUUUAUGAAAUUGUGAACUGGGAGCCUCCUCAAAAUGUCAAGCAGCUCCGCAGUUUCCUUGGGCUUGCAAGCUAUUGCUGAAGAUUUGUUGAAAACUUCUCAAAGAUUGCUAAGCCUCUAUCCAACCUCCUCCAGAAGCAUGUCAAGUAUUCCUGGGCUCCUGAGUGUGACGUUGCUUUCAACACUCUCAAAGAGAAACUCGUCCAGCUCCUGUCCUAACUCCUCCGGAUGAGUCCAAACCCUUCAAAGUUUUAUGUGAUGCCUUGUUGCAAGGUCUCAGUGCCGUGUUAAUGCAAGAGAAGAAAGUUGUGGACUAUGCUUCUCGUCAGUUGAAGCCAAAUGAAAGGAGGUACCCCACUCACGAUCUUGAGUUGGCGGCAGUUGUCCGUGCAUUCAUAACAUGGAGACAUCUCUUGUUGGGAAGGCAAGUGGACAUUUCACCAAUCACAAGAGCCUCAAAUAUAUCUUCACUCAACCCAACCUCAACCUCCGGCAAACUCGUUGCACUACAAAAAAAAGACACAUCUGUGACAUUUUGGGCCAAACGAAUUUUUUUCCUGUCAUACUUAUGACACUUCGAUGACGAUAAUUCUGACAAAACCAGGUAUCAUCAUAGAUGUGGUGGGAUCCUACUUCUAUGACAAAAAAUCAUGACAAAAAAUGGGCUUUUCGUCCUGGGUGGGCCGGAGACGUAGCUGCAUGGCAUUCUUUGGGCCGUCCAUGACGGAAAAAACUAUGGUAGAAGCGAGGGCGAGGAAAAUAUCGGGGUGUUCCCAGUUAUAGUGGGUGGUCGAGGCCGAGCGAUGCACAUAUCUCUCGUACACGCACACGCAUGGGUGCGAGGCGUUGGGCUCUAACUGAACCCGAGCUAUUGCACUGCAGGCUACGCGUCACUGAAUCCGAGCGAUCAAUCGAUGGCUGUUAACUGAACUCGAUCGAGCAGUUCCUUCGCUACUGCUGCUAACUGAAGCCGAUUGAUGCUGCCUUUGGAUGAACAGUGAGCGUUGCUGGGGGGGGGGGUUGGAUGAACAGUUCCCAAUGGGGGUGGAUAAACAGGACCCCGUGAUGUUGCCUCUGGAUGAACAGGACCCCGAUCGAUCGAGCCGGUUGGGGCUGGAUGACAGGACCCCGUGGAGGGCUGGAUGAACAGGACCACCCCGUGGAGGGCUGGAUGAACAGUAGACGGUGGAGGACUGGAUGAACAGUAGACCGUGGAGGGGUGGUUGAACAGGAGCCCGUGGAGAGGGCUGGUAGAAUAGUAGCCGGUGGAGUAGCGCGCGGUGGAGGCUGGAUGAACAGGAGCCCGUGGAUGAACAAACGAAGGUGGAGGCUGGAGGAGGUCGACGGUGGAUGAACAGUAGCCCGUGGAGGCUGGAGGGGGUCGACGGUGGAGAUGAAUAGUAUCUCGUGGAGUCCCGUUUUGCGGUACGCCACACCCCUCCCAAUGAACAGGACCCCUGUUUCGACCGUAGCGCUCCAACACAAGUCCGUUUCCUUCAUUUUGCGGUACGCCACACCCCUCCCGAUCAACAGGACCCCGUUUUGACCAUACGAGGUCCGGUUCCUCCAUUUUGCAGUACGCCAGACCCCUCCCGAUGAACAGGAUCCCAUUUUGAACGUGGCCGAUCGAACACAAGGCCGUUUUCUCCGUUCUGCGGUACGCCAGGCCUAGUUUUCAUCGGCUGUUCCGUCCAAGCCCUCCCGAUGAACACGACGACACAUUCCAUUCCGACCCAGCCGGUUGGCUCCUGAUGAACACGACGACGAUGCAUUUUCUCCGUUCCGACCUAGCCAUGUACACGAGCCCUGGCCGUACGUAUGCACGAGUAGGCGUUCGAGACCCCGCCCAUAUGUACGUACGUGGCCGUAUUUUAUUUCUUGCACACUGGCCGCUGUACGUACGUGUACACGCUACGUGCGCGCCUCUACUACGACACGUGUGCGCCUCUACAUCGACCAGUAUGUACGUACACGUUCAUGACCAGAAUGACAACGCUACAUACGCUUCGACCAGGUGGGUCCCGACUGUCAGGCACUUCCUUGCGUGCAAAGAUGUAACUGGUGGGUCCCAACAGUCAGGGGGGCGAAUUGUUUUUUUGGCCCGGACACACUUCCUUGCGUGGGAAGAUGUAUCUGGUGGGUCCCAACAGUCAGGGGGAAAUGUUUUUUUUCGUGAAAUACGGUGGCCCGUCCGAUGGGUCCCCGCUGUCAGGUGGAGGAAUAAUUAUUUUGCGCAUAAUAAGGAGGCACUUCCUUGCUGCGGCCAUGGACCCAACUGUCAGCCUCUCCCCAUACAGUCCACGUUCGAUGGAAGCCGUUCCUUGAACAUGUUGACCAUGCCGCACCGAGAGCACCAGGGCGGUGGACGACGGUGAGACCUAGGAAGGGACGACGCGGAGCCGGGGAAGACACAGCAGUGGAUGCCCACGCGUAGAGGGGUAUGAGGGUUCACUAGUUCGCUGCGGUGUGAGGCUGCCGUCGCCGCAGAAUAAUAGGGGGUGUGGGUGACUAGAGGGAUGUCCUGGCCAGCGGUGAGAGUAGUAGGGGGCGGUGAGGCCUCCGCCGCAUCGCAGUUGGCCACGGGAGGCAGGAGCACGAGGCACGACCGGCGCUGGUUUGGGCGUCUGGAGCAAGAAGACUAGAGGUUGAAGAAGCACUACAGCCGUUGGAUGGACAUCGUACGGUCACUCGAGCUAGAAUCAUGCAUAUUGACUAAGUUGACAAAGCCCUCCGUCCCCGUCAACUUAGUAGGCCCACAAGUCAGCCGACCACUAUACUGGGUCCCAGCUAGCAGGGGGAGUAUUCAUUUUUUUCGUGCGUAAUAAGGAGGCACUUCCUUGCGUGCGAAGAUGUAGCUGGUGGGUCCCAACAGUCAGGGGGAAACAUUUUUUUGCGAAAUAUGGUGGCCCGUCUAGUGGGUCCCUCUUGUCAGGUGGAGGAAUAAUUAUUUUGCACGUAAUAAGGAGGCACUUCCUUGCGGCCGUCGUGGACCCAGCUGUCAGCCUCUCCACGUACAGUACUCUUCCGAUGGAAGUCGUUCCUUGACCACGUUGACCACGCCACGCCGAGAGCACCAGGGCGAUGGACGAUGGCAAGGCCUAGGAAGGGGACGACGUGGAGCUGGGGAAGACGCGACAGUGGAAGCCCGCGUGGAGAGGAGUACGAGGGUUCGGCUGCGGUGUGAGGCUGCCGUUGCCGCAGAAUAACAGGGGUGUGGGUGAGUGGAGGGAUGGCCUGGCCAGUGGUGGGAGUAGUAGGGGGCGGUGAGGCCUCCGCGGCAGCACAGCCGGCCACGGGAGGCAGGAGCAGGCGGCACGACCGAUGCUGCUUUGGGCAGCUGGAGCAAGAAGACCAGAGGUUGAAGAAGCACUACGGCCGUUGGAUGGACAUCAUUACGAUCACUGCAGCUAGAAUCGUUUAUAUUGACUAAGUUGACAAAGCCCUUGGUACACGUGAACUUAGUAGGCCCAUAGGUCAGCCUCCGAAACGGUGCGCCCCAGAUGUCAGGGGGAGGAAUCAUUUUUUGGGCGACCGAAACUAGAAUAUCCGAGAUUGAAGAAGAAGCACGACAUCCGUCGGAUAGACAUCCAACGGCCACUACUUCUAGAAUCGUGUGUUGACUAUAAUAAGUUGACAAAGCCUUGCAUACGCGUCAACUUCUUUGUUUAGGGGACGCGUCAACUUAGUAGGCCCACAAGUAUGUGGCAGAGAACUUAUAGCCCAUUUGCGAUUUGUAAGAAUGUACAACCCAUUUUGAAUUCUAAUGUAAUUUACUACAGCCCAUUUACAGUUUGUUAAAAGUAUAGCCCAUUUUCUAGCUAGGUCAAGGAUUAAUAAUUUCAACCAACCGUUCAAGAUUUAUUAAAAAAACAACCGUUCAAGACAGAAUUCAAUAAAAUUUCCCACAUUUUGAUGGGAUCCAAAAUAUUUUUAUCCUGAAAUUUCUAGUCAGAUUAAAUAUAAAUUUGAAUUACGUAAAAAUCCAAUGAAACAUUGCGCGCGCAACAAUUAAAAAUUAAGAUUUUCAAUAUCCAUAAAUAAUAUUUUAUAAACUAAUUUCGUGUUUGGUGUAUUUUUUAUAGUUACUGCCCAGUUUCUAUAAUUACAUCCCAUUUAUUAUUUUUUAAAGCCCAUUUUCCUGUUAAGCCUAAUGCAUCCCUCCUAGGAAAGGUUUGCAGCCCAGCGGGGCGGAGAAUAACAAGUUGACCUUGCCUGGGUAUUCCUCAAAAAAAACGUAUAGCUGGGCUAGCAAUUUUCAUCUUGAAAAAAAUUAAUAUCUGGGUUGGAUAUCUGUCCUGGGCUAGACGGGCCACAGCCCACCCAGUUACUACCCUGCUCUCCUCUGAACAACAACGAAAACAUCGCCAAGAAAAACUCUAUAGUGCUCACGCCUCAAAAACACAAAUACUGCUUGAGCUGCUUGGUCCCAACUGUCGGCCGCACCUUGUGCAAUUCUCUCGCUUAUAUUGACUACAUAGGUUGACAAUGGUGUGGGACUGUGAUGUCAGGAAACCAGGAGGAAUCAAAAAAAUUUAGUUGUACAUAAUAAGGAGGCACUUGCGUAUGUACGACUAUGGCCCUAGUGGGUCCCUACUAUCAUCCAGUCAAAAUAAAGUCAUCUCCUGAAUCCUCAUGUUCAUUGACCAUGUUAACAAUGCUCGGCGCCACGGCUAGCGCAAAAACUUGAAGGACGACAGAGAGGGCCUCGCGGGCCCUACGAAUGGUCUGAUACAACGCCCGCUGCUCAUUCAGGAAGCCAGGAUCAUCAGACACCUAUGAGCACCUUCAAGAGACUGAGACGACAUGAAACGGUAAGGCCGCACUUGGGAGCUCUAGUUUAUUUCACACUUGUAUUAAGAUACAAGUGUAAUUUACUCGUCAUUGGAAACAACGCGUAAAAUACAAGCGUAAUGAAACCGAGGGCCCGAGGUCUGUAAGUAAAAUCGGUGGGUUACGCGUGUAAUUUGAGAGACCAAUGUAUAUUUUACUAGUCGAAAUCGACCAACCAAGCGCUUCGCCCGAGACCAUCUGCUUUUAUUUACAAGUGUCGGUUUUACAAGUGGUUUUGUUUGGAAAACGACGAUUGAAUCAUGACCUAAGAUGAUGAGUUGGUCGGAAGAUCAUAUGGUUUCAUGUCUAACCUACCCGACUUGUCGUAUAGGCUAUGAAUGAAACAUAAGACGAUGAACUUCUUAAGCACGGAAACAACAGAAGAGGAUGAUCUUCUUAACAAGCAAAUCACUGGCAUUAGAUCGACAUGCAAAACAAUACAAAGCAUUAUUCUUAGGAGGCACAGUGAACAACUCGUGAUGCCGCAUGCCACAACAUUCCAAGCUCAACUUUGCAAUCAAAUACAAUGCCUGGCAUUACAUAGACAAUAUUCAGAACAAACUCUUAAAAUAUCUUACAUAAGUCAACAUUCAUGUGACUAUGCAUCUCAGCAGAUUAAAUAUUUACUUCUGAAUUGAAGACAGGAAUAGGAAAAAACGAUCGACGUUGCUCACAGCAAAGGGCAUCCCACUCAAAAAUAUCAAAUGCAUGUCUUCUGGCUAACAUCAAUGAGCAAAAAUUGACAAGGUUUUCCAAUUCCAAUAUAUUAAACUAAUGUCAACUUUGACAAGUUUUUCCCAUUGAAAAUAUGUAAUGCCUAUGAUUGUGGAACGGGCAGGGUUUGCCAUUAGUUUGUCAUCUGAUAGUCCGGUGGCUCAAGGUGACGACGAAUGAUUAUAGAACCAUUCGAUGUAUUGUGCAUGAUGAAGUAUUAUGGAGGACACGAACCAUCUGAACAUUUUGUGCAGUUCCACUAAAAUCAAGCUGAGCAUCCCUGUGGAUUUCAUAUUUAUAUGCUUCCAGAAAACAAAGACACAUCAGCACACACAUGAAUAUUGGCCCCAGUGUCAACCCACCAAUCGGUGGACCAACAAACUGAAAGUACGGUAAACAGAUUACCAUACCCAGAUGCCCCAUCAUUGUUGCUUAGAGUGACAUUGACAGACUUGGAGUCCUGUCCUGGCUUCUUGGUACUUUCUUGGGCACUUGUUUUCCUAGUGUUCCUCCGAACCACAAGUAAAUCAGCCAUAUCUCUUUUUGUCUUUCUUCUUACCCUUCUUAAUGGCCGACGCUGGCAACACCAAGUGACGACGAAUGAUUAGAGAACCAUUCGAUGUAUUGUGCAUGAUGAAGUAUUAUGGAGGACACAAACCAUCCAGACAUUUUGUGCAGUUUCACUAAAAUCAAGCUGAGCAUCACUGUGGAUAUCGUAUUUAUAUGCUGCAAGAAAACAAAGACACAACAGCACCCACAUGAAUAUUGGCCCCAGUGUCAACCCACCAAUCGGUGGACUAACAAACUGAAAGUACGAUAAACAGAUUACCAUACCCAGAUGCCCCAUCAUUGUUGCUUAGAAUGACAUUGACAGAUUUGGAGUCCUGUCCUAGCUUCCUGUACUUGUUUGGGAACUUUUUGCUCAGUGCACCCCACGUGUUGUAGAGUUUCCUAUGCUCUCUGCAGACUAGUCAUGUCACCAACGUCUACUAAUACUCUGUAAAGCUUCUUGAUCAUUCUUUGUGUAAUGUAGCGCAAAUAGUGACUGCUUCUUUCUACAAAGUGGUAAGACCAACUGGACCCACUAAUACAGCAGUUUGCCUUAGACACAUUGGCUCCUUUUGUGCAGUUCAACUAAAAUCAAAGUCGGAAUAAAACCAAGCUUUAAUUUUGAUAUCCCUGUAAGCAACAAUAGGUACAAGGGAAACAAUUACUGAGAAAUAAUGGUUGAUGACUUGUACUCCCAGAAGAAAAACAUCUACUGAUCUACCUUAUCUUAAUGGGAAACAAAGCAGGAGAGUAGCAAUUCUCAAUCAGUGGGAUUCAUUCAUAUUAACCGAGGCAUUAUCUUAACAAUGCCUCGUUUCAACAUGUAUAAAGAACGACAAAGCAGAAAAGUAUCAUUCCUAAAACAAUGUGACUGAUUCAUUUUAACAGAGGCAUUAUCUUAACAAUACCUUGGUUAAACAUGUAGAAAGAACUACAAAGCAGGACAGUACCAUUUGUAAAACACUAUAAUUGAUAUAUAAUAACAGAGACAUUAUGUGAACAAUACAUUUCUUAAACAUGUACUCCGGCCGAUCCCUAACAAAAAUGGUACUCUUGCCGAUCCCUAACACAGUGUGCUUCCAUCUACUUAUAAAGGGGGUGAUGCAGAGUUUGUUAUAACAAAGCAACAAGCAUCAUGUCUGGGUUGGUACCAUUUUUGUUCACUACUUAAUGGGAAAAGAGAGCAAUACAAUAGCUUCAAUUCAACAUUUAUUUAAAACAGUACCAAUACAAGUAGCACAACAUCACAAAACACACUGCACGAUCAUGUGGAUGGGACAUGGGACAUGCCAGCACCAUGUGCGUCCACACGUAUAAAUGGGUGAUGCAGAGUAUGUAGCCAAGCAACAUAUCUGUGUUGGUCCCAUAUUUGUUCUCUUUGAAACUUUUUCCUAUGUGAGGGCAGCAAAUCUAGUCCUGCACAAACUACCCGACCCCCCAGUUUCUUUCCCUUUUCAACAAAGAGUUUGGUUCCUUACAGAUGUGUGUACUGGGUUACCCCCCUUUUCCCUUUUCGACCAACAAAGUGGCUGGAUAGCUAGUCUAUACUACUUUCCCUCCCUCCUUUCCUCACUGAACCACGUCCUAUAUUCAUGCUCCACCCCACCACAUCCUUCUUUCCUCUUUGAACCAAUACCUAGAUUCGACUACAGAAUCGAAAAAGAUCUGCAUGCAGCUAGACCAAUGAUGGUUUCGAAGAAACUUAUACCUUAGGGUCGUCAGGAUGUGGCAAGGCUUGCGGCGGGAGGUCGGAUCUGCCCACACUACAUACAACAGCGAGCAAGAAGGGGUCAGUGGCCCUCCCACACAGGCGCUAGGUGAAAGAGAAAAGCGCAGCCGGCAGUGGAUUGCCUCCCUCGCCGAAGGUGAUAGAGUGAACGCUGCACCUCCUCCCCUUCCCGGUGCGACGGGAUUCAGACGCUCCUUCGCCAGCUGUGAGGGGGGUGAGAGAGACAGAGGCCACAACGCAGUCUUGUUUAGAUUUGGUGAAGAGGGUGAGAGACUAUGAAUAUAGCAAACCCUAGCAAAGGAACGCUGAGCCUCCAGCGUGUAUAUAUAUAUGUAGUGCGACGAGAGUGUGGAGAGUGCAAACCCUAGCAAACAAGCGCUGAGGCUCCAACUUAUAUAUAUACUGUAGUAUGGACUGAGCUCCGGUGCCUUAACUGCACCUGCUUUUGGCUGUAUGACAGGUGGGCCAGCCACAUUUUGGGCCCACCUGUCAUAAACCCAAAGGCAGGUGCACUAAAGUCAAUGAAGCUGCGUCCAUAUAGUACUCGUGUAUACGACUAAUAUAUAGUGGAGUGGUUUUCUUAUUCUCUCCAUAACAAUCAUUUUAAAUUGUGUAAGUAUGAAACAAAACUCUUUAUUUAACGUACCAGUGAAGAAAACUACUACUCCCUCUGUUCCUAAAUAUUUGUCUUUCUAGAGAUUUCAACAAAUGACUACAUACGGAGCAAAAUGAGUGAAUCUACACUGUAAAAAAAUGUCUAUAUACAUCCGUAUGUGGUAGUCCAUUUCAAACCACUUGAAAGACAAAUAUUUAGAAAUGGAGGGAGUACUUCUGAUGAACUAACAAUCCACGCGUCCUGGUCGCACUUCCUGUCCUUCACGUGCGGUACACUACCCUCCCUUAAGUGAACAACCACACAUGCGCCAAAUUAUCGGAAACGUGUGAGAGUGUGUACAAAGAAAGAAUUUUAAUUUCAAUUAUCGAAAAGGUUUGAGAGUAUGUACAGUUUGCCCUAUCUAAUAAUUAUGGUUUGUUGUGUUCGGCCUAAACUUACUUCAGUCAAAUAUAAUAUGCGGAGUAAAUAAAACUGGAGGGCUACAACGUCCAUCCGGGUUUUUAGUCCACACCAUUUUUUAAUCAAAGUUAACAGCUGGACAAAUAAAAUUACAGGGGAGCUGGAGAAAAAGUUGUGAGAAGGCUUAGAAAUCAAAACAAAACUUAUGCUCUUAGUACCAACGUCGAUCCUUCUUCGAGGAAACAUUUGGUUCAUAGCCAAUUGUGUGACAAAAUUGCACCAACGUGAAAGACGACCGCGUCUCCAACGCAACCAAGGUGAACCGACGAAGGAUAAUAUCUUUGUGGGUAACAAGCAAAGAGCACUGAAGGAAGACAUCUUGUUUUUCAUUUAAAACUGAUCAGCUUCACCAGCCGACGCAACCAUGAGGCGAAACCAUGAGCAUCGAUAGGUCAUCGUGGUGAUGCAUCAUCCAUUUGGCAUCAAGUUUGGAUGAGGCACCUAUGAAGUUUGACAAAUCCUCACUAUGGUCUGUUUCUUCUUAGUAAUCAAGCUCGAGGAAGGAAGAACCACGUGGCAAAGGACAGUGAGGCGGAACAACAAUGGCCAUCCAAUUUUGUGCAGUUCCACUAAAAUUGAGGAAGACAUGCCCGGGUAUGGAGAUAUGCAUCGCUGUUUCCAAAAAUAUAAAAAAGGGAUAUAGUGUUGUUACUUUGUUUUACAAGAUUAACAAUGACAUCUCAAUUGUCAAUAAGAAUUAUGAAAAGUACACCAACAAACAGAAGCAUCAUGAUUAUCUUGAUGGGAACUAAACCAGAAUACCCGAGAAAAAACAUUUCUUCAUUUAACCAGUGAUAGUAUUAGAUUAGCAGCAGCAAUAGGAGCAUAUGGACAAUGACCGCACAACCACCAUGUACUUUUUGUCGAAACAACAUGUAUUCCUCCACCGAGGCAUACAUCAGGGCAACUUUUCGAGUGGCAUUUCCUCUAUAAUAGUAGGUGAUGUUGGACCAGCCGACGAACCCUAGCUACUAUACAUGGGGAGCUGGGGAGUAGUCGCAUAGAAGAAAACCCGCAUGCAGUGACCUGGGGAGCUGGACCAGUACCAGAAGUUAUACCUCAGGUGGGCGAGAUGUCGCUUAGGCGGGCGGGCGGGAUCUGCCCACACGAUGGCAGCGAACAAGGGCGCGGAAGACCUUUGCCCGUGCCAGCGCCGGCUCUGAGAGGACGGUACGCAUUGGCUUCCUCCAUCGCCGACGGUGACAACGUCAACGCUGCACCUCCUCACCUCCCGCAACGUACAUGAUUCAGCUGGAUCUGUGACCACCGGUGAGGAGAGAGAUAGUGUGGACACUGUCAUCUUGUUUUGAUAUGGAGAGGGUGAGAGAGCAAGACGCGAGAAACUCUAUCAAACAAGAGGCUAUAAUGGAGUAAAAAAAUCUCUCCAUAGCAGUGGUUUUAAAUAGAAUACGCGCGUUCCUGGAAAAAAGAAACGAAAACUGGUGGACAAUUUUUUAACGUACCAAGAAAGGAAACUCGAUCAAAAACAUGCCCCCGCUUCCAGGUCGCGAGAGUCGUCGCGCACACACACAUAGACAUAGACAUGCAUAUCCGUGUUUACAUAAAAUUCCAUUUCCAUCCCCAUCUCCAAUCAUAUUCGUCCAACUGGCACAUUAUUUACGUUGUUAAUUAUAUACGCGGCAAUAUUAACGUACAACAUCUCUUGCUUGCGGGCGUCUGGACCGCUGGCACCGUCGCUCCUGACCAACCCGAACCCUCUUCAUCACCCGUGCAUGCUUCCCACCUGAAACGGUCAGUGCCGCAUUCAUGCCCGGCCAGAGCGGACACGACCUCUCACUGGCGCCGGCAUUGAAGCGGUGCGCUCGCCGAGAGAGCGUCGCCCGCGCCGCUUCCUAGUGCAUGCGACUGCUCCGCGUUCAAAGGUCGCAAUAGUCAGCCACAACAUGCAUGUAAAAAGUUCUUGGGAGUCCGUGCUACAGCUAGCUAUCCUCCCCCAACUCGUCAUGCUCUUCCAAUAGUACUAGUACUCCAUGGCGCGAUCCAUCGACAAGCAGGCGGGAAAGUUAUCGUAUACUCGGUUUGCGGUGAGUGGCAUGCCGAGCGACCGUGUGGGGUCGAGCCGUGGAGGAGGGUGAGACAUGAACGAGACAGACGUGAUUUAAAGAGCAAUGCUACACGCACGGACAAGUUUUUACAGGAUUCAUGGGGUGGUUUAGCUGGCAGGUUUUCAAUGGAUAGAAAUAAGGUAAGGGGCCCACUCCCAUUUAAAAUCAGGGGGAGAGAAGAUUAGUUGUGAAUGACCCCGUAAAAGAUCCCUGUAAAAGUGCGUGAGUUUAGAAUUUUCGUGAUUUAAACGUUGGUUUUGCUCGAUGGCACGAUCCAACGAAAUGAAACGUUGGUUUCUCUCCGUUUCCAUUUUUUCUCCGGAAAAACAGGAACUUUCCACUCCACUUUCAUUCCUACUCCAAGGUUGCCCCAUUACAACAUUCCAUCAAAUACAAAGGAAAGCUAACACGCAUGCUGAUGCAUCUCAAUGAUUCACAGAUCAUAGCCAAUAUUUACUUCAGAACUAAAGACAAAAGUUGUGAGAGCGUGCACGAAAGAAAAACUACUAAUGGGGUCACUACAACUUAAACCCUAAACAAACAUGAUUUAAUUUCCUGGCCAGGUAGAACCUGUCGAAGGAAAGACGGCUGGCACCCUCGGAUCGUAUGAUGCUUUUGUGCAGUUCCACUAAAAUCGAGCUGAGCAUCCCUAAUGGCAAAGAUAUUGAAGAAGUGUGAUUAGAAUAAUAGUACUGGCACUAGUUCAUGAGACAUAAACUCAUCACAAGUAGAAGCCAAUAGAAGUGGAGAAAGAUCGACAUGGAGAUGGAGCUACGUGGGGAGCCGCGGCAGUGGAGCAAGCCAGCUCCAAAAGGAAGAUGGACUACCUGGGACGUCGGGAUGUAGCUAGAAGGGCGGUUGGGACACGACAUCGGCCCAUACUGUGGUGACCCUCGAUUGGGACGCACUGACUGUGGAUUUUAUCCCUCGCCGAUGUCGACCGCGUCUACGCAGAACAUUGUUCCCUCCCCCCAGCUGCAGGACCAGGCCAGAUAUGUGACCAGCGGUGUGGCCACCGAUUUUCUAUGCUUGUGAGGAGAGCAACCCAAGCAAGCAGGCUUGAAGCUUAGGCUCCUGCUAGUGUAUAUAUAGUGGUUUUAUUUUUCUCUCCAUAUCAACCAUUUUAUAUUGCGUACGUGUCAUUGAAGAGUGAAAUGAUGGUUGCUUCUUCUGACUAACUUACUGUGUGAUUUGACUGCUCCUUUAGUGGCCCCUACAUGUACUCCCCCUACGUGUAUGCAACAGCCACACAUACACAUGGACGCAAAAACGCGCGUGACGCCCUAAUGCAUGCAUGUCCGAGCACACGAAGGAACACAAACGGUCACGCUCAAGUGCUCAACCUACACGUGCAUGCACACACAUACUCAGCCAGGGUGAGCUAGUGAUCGUAUAAACACCGGAAAAUGUAUAUAUUGAGCGCAAUGAGCGUAUUAUGAAGUCCAUUGAUCGUAUUUAUUACAAAUAUACAGUGACAGACAGUGUAUUUAUCUCGUUUGAAAUUAAGCCAUAUUAACCGGAGAGGAGGCAAUAUGGACUAGCAUUACUUUGUUGUGUCCCGUCAACUUGUCGAACAAGGAGAAGGUUGCAGGACGGGAGAAGCUUGCACGCGGUGGCUCGCAGAACAAGGAGAAACUUUUGACUAAUGCAAGCUCUCUCUCGCUCAGGCGGUGGACGUGCAACUGUUAAUUCAACGUCAGAUUGCUAGAAGCAUACACUAUACUAGUACUAUUAUUGUUCGACUUCCCGAAGAGGCGAACAACCAAGCGCAAAGUUUACUAGUACUAGUACUACUACUAUAGUCUAUAGAGGUAUGUACUAUACUAGUACUAGGAACCGGAUGGAGGAGAGUCUGCACUCUUAUUAUAUUUUUAAAAUGUGAUAAAGCAAUCUUCAACACAUUUGGUUCUCUUCGAGGGUUCUCGCAUGUGAUAAUGGAAGUUGAUUGCAUGGAACACUCACCACAAUUCUUGCUUAAUUCUGGCUCAUAUCCUAUUACAAAUAGGAGCGCUCAGUAAUAUUUCCUAUUUUUUGUUAUUCAGCAUGUAAACAGGUCAGCAAACCUUGUGGCGCAUCUUUGUGCGAACCGUGCAUGCUACACUUUGAAUGUGGCCGAGAGCUGGCUUGAUGAAACACCUCGCUUCCUACUUCUUUUUUUGCGGGGUACCUCGCUUCCUAGUGACCAGUGUCUUGGUUGAUCAUCCUAAGAAUGCUUAUAUAUGAAUAAAGCUCUCUCAUUUACCCACAAAAGAUUAAGCCAUAUUAACCGGAAAGGAGGGAGUAUGGACUAGCACUACUUUUUGGUGUGUCCCGUCAACUCGCAGAACGAGGAGAAGCUUGCAGGACAAGGUGAAGCUUGCUUACGCCUUUUGACUAAUGCAACCUAUCCUCGCCCAGGCGGUGGACAUGCAUCAGUUCAUCCGGUGUCAGAUUGCCAGAGCAUACACUGUAGUACCGAACAUGCGGAGUACCAUCAUUGUUUGACUUCACGAAGAGGCGAAGAGCCAAGCGCAAGGUUUAGUAGUACGAGUAGUACUACUACUAGAAUCGCAUGGUGGAGCGUCUGUACUCUUAUUUUUUUAAUCUGUGAUAAAGUACACAUUUAUUCCGGAGAAGGGCGGAAAACGGCAGCCCAACAUGUAAUGAUGAUAUUGAUCAACCAUGCUCGAAUAUAUCUUGGCCUCCGUGCGAGCCCGUCUAUGUGGUCUCGCUCCUCGUCACUCUCAAGGAAUGGCGGGUUGGCCAUUUUUCCAUCAAUUGAGAUUGGUUUGCUCACACUCCGGUCCCACAUGUCAGUGAUAUGCCAAGAGGAGGUGCGUUGACCGACUGGCCAUACGCGUACUUGGUUUUGCACCUUCAUAAUACUCCUCCCUCCGUCACAGUUUACAGGGCACACUUCAUUAUGAUGCAUUUCUCUCAAUGCAUUUCCACCACCAGAGAGACUUUAGAUGCGUUUGAUUUAAUGCUCAAUUAAUUAGGGCGUGGUAACCGCAAUCAAGUCCACAAUUUUCUCUCGAUGCACUAUGGAGUGGAGUAAGUGCAUGCAUGUGUGUAACCGGGGUGGAAGCACCGCAUGCAUGUGUGUAUGCAUUAUUUCCUCUAGUAAUAGACGCCGUGUUAUAACUACCAAUGCUACUUUUCAGGCCGAUCGCUAGUCGCCUUGGUCCCAGAGAUUUUUUUCUUUUUCUGAAGCGCGCUCUAUAAAUAGUGACGGAUGGAGUAGUAUGAGUGGAUUCAAAGAAGAGCGUAUUGAUGGUUGCUUCUUCCGAGCAACUUACAGUGGGAAAGGUGGGGCUUAUGAUUUGACCGCUCAUUACUCACUAUUAAUGCAGCGCAACCACCGGGCUGAGUCUCCCAUGCGGUGUGCACUACCCCCUCGGUUCUUAAAUAUACUCCGGAGUAUUUGUCUUUCUAGAGAUUUCAAUGAGUGACUACUCAAAUAUUUGUCUUUUUAGAGAUUCAAAUGGACUAUUACAUAAUGAUGUAUAUAGACAUAUUUUAGAGUGUAGGUUCACUCAUUUUGCUCCGUAUGUAGUGACUUGUUAAAAUCUCUAAAAAGAAAAAUAUUUAGGAACGGAGGGAGUACACAUACGAAGCAAAAUGAGUGAAUCUACACUCUAAAUUAUGCCCAUUUGAAAUUUGGAAAAAGACAAAUAUUUAGGAACGAAGGAGUAUAAUUUUGUGCAUGGCACAUGGACCCGGAUGCCGAAGAGGCUUCUGACGAUGCUAUCAAGCUUCCAGCAUUUGUUUACAUAAUUGCUGUACUAUACAAAUAAUUUUCCAGCGACAUGAAAUUGUACAAUGGUGUGAGCUUUCAGCUUUUGUUUCGUGUGUCUUGCCAUUGAUGCUCUUUCGAAAACAACAAAAAAACUAACUUCCUUGCUAAUGCAUCUCAAUUAUUAGCAGACCAGAG
rnacentral:lncRNA from 1 species